rnacentral:lncRNA from 1 species
AAAAAAAAAAACUCCCACUUUCCCAUUCCCAACCCUAUUUUCCCCUUUUUUACUCCCACAGCACCUCUUCUCCCACCUAUUCACGCAGGUCUCACCCCGACGCUGAUCUACGCCCCUGAUUUCUUGAUCCACAUUGGGCGCGCUCCAUCCUUGGUUGCUACUACUGCGGAUUGCGGCCGUCGCCUUAUCUCCUCCACUCCCAAGUUCCCUCUCUCGCCUGCCUUCCACUUGCCUCCACCAAACCUAUCAUUAUUAUCCCGAGUUCUCCUACCUCUGCUCGAUCCACCUUGACUCUGCAAACCGCACCUACCCUCGACACAUUUGCAGACCCUGUUUACAAAUACGUCCAAUAAGGAUUUUUCAGGUUUCUGGCUACUCAUUUUUUUAUUUUGUGAUUUUUUUAAAAAAAUUAUUUCAUUCUUAAUCGACCAUAACAAUAAUUUCUUAUUUAUAUUUUCUAAAAUAUCU